rnacentral:lncRNA from 1 species
AGGGAUUAUAACAUAUCUCCUCCAGUCAUUCUGGUCUGCCCUAAAUUAGAGUCUUGCCACUUCCUGGACAAUGAGGAACCAUAGAGCACUGUAACACCAUUAAACAUUUUUCCUGGAUAGACGCAUCAUCCCUGUCACAUCAUCUAAUUCUACAGAUACGGGCAAUUCCUUGGAGGACCUCAACUGAAAGACUUGCAUAUUUUCCAGAACUCCUGUUUGUUGAGUCUUAAACCCUAAUUUUUGUUGUUACGGCAUCAUGAUAUUGAUGAAAACUGCUUGGUUUCUUAGCUUUUGGGGGCCCACUUUCAGCUCGGCUUCUGAGCAUCUCAUUCUGGAUCAGCAAACACUGAUACAGAAAUUCAGACUCACUGUCAGGGGUCCCAUUUUCUCUGACAUCUCUGUCCCUCAAACCCUGGCUUUCUUGUCAGCUUGAAUGUCAACUUUCGUCUCCCCAGAUCUGUGAACUUGGCAUACAACUCUGAGCCACUGCUUUCUGCUUUCUCAACCCCUCUGCACUUACAAAUUGGCUACUAGCUCAAGGAGAUUCAAGGCUACUAGCUUCAAGGAGAAUGUAGGGCUUACCUCGUUGCAGUUCGCUUUUCCAUGGGAUCGUGGACCCUCAAGUCCUGGCAGCCUGGGUUGCUUUCUGAUGCCUUCAAACAACUCCUAAAUGCCUACCAGCACCAAGCAGGAAAUGAUAAAAAGAGGCUGAUGAGUUUCGGGUGUGGUUCAGCCUGGGAAGCCUCCUUAUUCACAGGAAGCCAGUCCUCGGCUUACACAGCAUCAGGGGAUCAACCACCACACCGUGAUCUAAACUGAGGCCCGCAGAAGUUGGAACAAUGUUAAAAUGAAAGCUUAAAUCAGCCCCAAUUAAAAGAUGAUAUGUCAUUUAAAUCACAAGGAUGUUCUCUAUGAGGCCUUAGAGCUGAAGUCCUUGCACAGCCGACUCUGGCACCCAUCAGCACAUCUCAGACCUUUUCUAGGUUUGGUCCCUGCAUUCAUCAGGACUUUAGAUUACAGGUGGCAGAAAUCAAAUCAAAUGGCUCAAAUAAAAUGGACAAUUGCUAGUUCAUCAUAUCUUUUUAAAACUCCAAAUAUAGACUUUCAGGUAUGGUUAACUUCAGGUUCUAGGUCUAGGCAGCCUUCUUCCCCAUCUUUAGGUCUGCCUUCCCCUCUGUGGGCUCCAUUCUUG